GUGCCAGCCGCCGCGGUAACACGUAGGCACCAAGCGUUGUCCGGAUUUAUUGGGCGUAAAGAGCUCGUAGGCGGUUCAGUAAGUCGGUUGUGAAAACUUUGGGCUUAACCCAAAGCGUGCGUCCGAUACUGCUGUGACUUGAGUUCGGUAGGGGAGUGGGGAAUUCCUAGUGUAGCGGUGAAAUGCGCAGAUAUUAGGAGGAACACCGGUGGCGAAGGCGCCACUCUGGGCCGAAACUGACGCUGAGGAGCGAAAGCAUGGGUAGCAAACAGGAUUAGAUACCCCUGUAGUCC
rnacentral:rRNA from 1 species